rnacentral:tRNA from 1 species
GCGGGUGUGAUGUAAUGGCUAGCAUCUGAGUACGCCAUACUCAGCGCGUGGGUUCGAGUCCCAUCAUCCGCU